ACCGGCGCACGGGUGAGUAACACGUAUCCACCUGCCGACAACACUGGGAUAGCCUUUCGAAAGAAAGGUUAAUACCGGAUGGCCCCGCAUGGGUAAAGAAUUUCGGUUGUCGAUGGGGAUGCGUUCCAUUAGGCAGUUGGCGGGGUAACGGCCCACCAAACCUACGAUGGAUAGGGGUUCUGAGAGGAAGGUCCCCCACAUUGGAACUGAGACACGGUCCAAACUCUACGGGAGGCAGCAGUGAGGAAUAUUGGUCAAUGGACGAGAGUCUGAACCAGCCAAGUAGCGUGAAGGAUGACUGCCUAUGGGUUGUAAACUUCUUUUAUACGGGAAUAAGUGAGGCACGUGUGCCUUUUUGUAUGUACCGUAUGAAUAAGGAUCGGCUAACUCCGUGCCAGCAGCCGCGGUAAUACGGAGGAUCCGAGCGUUAUCCGGAUUUAUUGGGUUUAAAGGGAGCGUAGGCGGACGCUUAAGUCAGUUGUGAAAGUUUGCGGCCCAACCGUAAAAUUGCAGUUGAUACUGGGUGUCUUGAGUACAGUAGAGGCAGGCGGAAUUCGUGGUGUA
rnacentral:rRNA from 1 species